rnacentral:rRNA from 1 species
UACGAAGGGAGCUAGCGUUGCUCGGAAUUAUUGGGCGUAAAGCGCACGUAGGCGGCUUGGCAAGUCGGAUGUGAAAUCCCUCGGCUCAACCAAGGAAGUGCAUCCGAAACUGCUGAGCUUGAGUACUUAAGAGGAUCGCGGAAUUCCCGGUGUAGAGGUGAAAUUCGUAGAUAUCGGGAGGAACACCAGUGGCGAAGGCGGCGAUCUGGGAAGAUACUGACGCUGAUGUGCGAAAGCGUGGGGAGCAAACAGG